CCCUUAGAUGUCCUGGGCCGCACGCGUUCUACAAUGACUUGUUCAGAAAGUUCUAUCCUGGUCCGGUAGGAUUUCGGGUAAUCUUUUUAAUGCAAGUCGUAUUAGGGAUCGAUCUUUGUAAUUAUAGAUCUUGAACGAGGAAUUCCUAGUAAGUACAAGUCAUCAGCUUGCGUUGAUUACGUCCCUGCCCUUUGUACACACCGCCCGUCGCUACUACCGAUUGAAUGGUUCAGUGAGAUAAUCGGAUAGGUAACUCGGUGAGCAGCAAUGUUUACCAAGCAUACAUAGAAGACGAUCAAACUCAGUCAUUUAGAGGAAGUAAAAGUCGUAACA
rnacentral:rRNA from 1 species